UCAUUUAUUAAUAUUAAUUAAUAUUUUUGAUUGAAUAGUGGUUUGUCGUAGCGUGGGUAAAAUUCUUACGUUUUUUUCUAAAUAUUAGGUAGUGAUUUUACCGACGCGCCAUAUUUUUUUUCUAUUUUGGUAAUUCUGGUACUCAUUUUUUACUUAUUUUUUACUUUCGUUAUACAGAAUGAGUAAAAGAAUUACCUGUUUUUGCUCAAGGUGAGAAAUUUGUUUACUUUUUCUUGAAAUUAAUUGGUAAUUUAUGUGGAAUUCCUUUCAAAAAAAAAAUCUAUUAUAAUUCGAUUUUUUUUGUUGAAAGGAAUUCCACAUUAACAAACUUUGGAAGCGACUAGAGUUUUUUUCUUUCUUUUUUUCUAUUUUGGUAAUUCUGGUACUCAUUUUUUACUUAUUUUUUACUUUCGUUAUACAGAAUUGGUAUAUACAUACAAAACUGACAGCUAGCAUAGUUUUUUUCUUCAUUUCUUUCAUUCGGUGGUUGACAUUUGGCGUCGCAGUUCUGAGUUGGCCUCGUGUUUAGUUUUCUAUCGUUCGCUCCUUCAUUUUAGAAUUUCAAUUUAGAAUUUAGAAUUGUUUCUUUUAUAUUUCUUCUUUAAUAUGAACUCAAUUAUUAAAAAUAAAGUGUUUAGUAGGUCAACGUAUAAAAGAAAAUUUAAAAAAGCGCUAACGAAACUACGUGAAAAAGGUGUUUCUGAUGUAAACUUUACUAAAUCGAAUCUUGUAGAACAUCGUAAUCAAGAGUUUUCUUCAAGACAUGUAAUUUCUGAAAUUUCUGAUAGUGAUUGUGAUAGUUUGGAAGAAAAUAGUGCAGAGCCCGGUGGUGUUUUAGUUCAACAAACUUCGGAAAACAUAUCGAAAGACUUAAAAAACUGGGCUGUCAAAUACAAUGUAGCCCAUGUUUGCUUGCGUGAUUUACUUGAUAUCUUGCACUGUUCUCAUCCUUAUUUACCCCUAGACCCUCGAACAUUUCUACAUACUUCCAUCGCGGAAAAACAUUUUAUCGAUGUUCCUCCUGGCAGAUACUGGCAUUUUGGUUUAGUUCGUGCUUUGACCAAGGUUUUUCAAAGUAUUGAUAAAUUACCGACAGAAAUAUGUUUAGAUUUCAAUAUCGAUGGAAUACCUGUAAGCAAAAGUUCCAAAGGGCAAUUUUGGCCAAUUUUGUGCUCACCAGAAGGUUUUUCUUUGCCGCCACUUGUAAUAGGUGUUUAUUACGGAAUGGCAAAACCUUCGAAAGUUGAUGAAUUUUUGAAAUUGUUUCUUCAAGAGGCUAAAACGAUUAGUGAUUUGAAUAUAGGUUCAAGAACAAUUAAGUUUAAAAUAAGAAAUUUCAUUUGUGAUGCUCCUGCUCGGUCUUAUUUAAAAGGUAUAAAAGGGCAUAAUGGUUAUUUUGCCUGUGAAAGGUGUAAUGUAGAAGGCGAUUAUAACUACAAUACUCACCAAAUGUGCUUCCCAACAUUAUCAAAAUCAGUUAGGACGAAUGCUUCUUUCCGGGAUAAGAUCCACGAAGAUCACCAUAUCCAAUCAUCUCCAUUAGAAAGCCUUCCAAUCGAUAUGAUCAACAAUUUUCCUUUGGAUUACAUGCAUUUACUGUGCUUAGGUAUUAUGAAAAAAUUAUUGCUGUUAUGGAUCAAGAACAGAUCCUUAAAAACAAAACUGUCUUCGAAAAACAUUGAAAAAAUCUCUGAUUUGUUAGUGUCAAUGCGAACGUUUACGCCAUGUGAAUUCAACCGAACUGUACGCAGACUUGAUGUUAUAAGCUUUUGGAAGGCCACAGAAUUUCGAACAUUUUUGUUAUACUUAGGUCCGAUUGUUUUGAAAAAUGAAAUUCACGAAGAUGUAUAUGAGAAUUUCAUGCAAUUACAUUGUGCUGUUACAAUUUGUCUGAGCGAAAAAUCAGGCAAAUUUAUUAAUAUAGCACAAAUCAUGUUCAAUUCGUUCAUACAAGGUUUUGCUAAGAUCUAUGGCCGUGAAAAUAUAAGUUACAAUGUUCAUAACUUAUACCAUAUUGCAGAUGAUGUGAAAUUCCAUGGUCCUCUCGACAACAUAAGUGCAUUCAAAUACGAGAAUCGCUUGCAAUAUCUAAAGCGUAGAAUAAGAUCGGGAAAUAGGCCACUUGAACAAAUUGCAAAUAGAAUUUCAGAGGAUUUUGAAAACACAACAAACCAUCUAAGUACGAACACGUUUCCAAGGCUCUCUAAUCUAGAUAAACAUAAAACGUGUGAAAUUAGAGGUUGUAAAGGUAUUUAUAGAACUGUCGAACUAGAAAAUUUCGUUCUUAAAUCUUCAGAUGCAGAUUGCUAUUUCUUUACAAAGUCUGAAGAAAUUGUUCGAAUGGAAUUCGCAACAUUUCAAAACGAAAUUGCAGUUAUUUAUGGUUCGAGCUUGGCGCAAAAACAAAACUUUUACGACAAACCAUUUUAUUCAAAAUUUUUAAAUGUAUACAAGUCAAACGAGGAAACAAAUGUCUCCCAAUUUUGGAAAACGGGUGACAUUGUUUCUAAAUUUUUUAAAGUUCCUUUAAAUACUGAAUCUGUUUUCUUUCCUCUUAUUCAUUCUUCAAAAAAAGAAAAUGUUCCGAGUGGUGGAAACAAUUGAGAAUGGCGAAAGAUUCGUCACUGCUGUUCCGAGGAAUUGGGUCGAUGGAUCAACCCUGUUAUGGCCGAAUACGAAAAAGGAUUUGUUAACUGGCCGCAAACAAUGUCUCACACCUUCAGAAGACUGGCAGAAAUUAAAAUGCAGACUCAUUUUUGAUGAUAUCGAUUCGUGGGAUGAGGCUAUAGCCAAAGAAAAGGAGGCCGAGUUUAUGUCGUCCGACGAAACUGGGUUGGAUGAGCUGGGCAAAUUACCCGAAAAUGCGAUUUCCGACUUGAAUUUACUCAUGUCGGAGAUCAUUUGUGAAAACUUGUGCGCGCCCCCCAAGAUGCAUUACGGAUCAUCGACCAAUACUCUCAGUUACGAUUCGGAUCAGCAAGGCACUUCGCAGUCGCAGUCGCAGUCGCAGUCGUUUGAGAGCCUGCAGGCGGAAAAUAAGGCAGCCUUCCAAUCAAUUGAAGUGUCUCUAGGAGAGCUAAAAGCGGAAUCGGGCCUCCAAAAAAAACUCCUCGAGGAGUUUAUAGCCAGAACAGAGGUUACGCUGAACACUAUAAUAGACAAACUUUGUCAGCGAAGGGAAUCGGCGGGGGAGUUGAAAAUUCCCGAAAAUUUGCUGCCGAUUUCAACUCACGAGCAGUUAGACUCCCUCGAGGAGAAAAUUGGGACCGAUCCCGCUUUUAGGCGGUCGUUGAUCCGUAAGCUGAGCACUUUUGGGGGGUUGUCAGCGUCAAAAACAAUGCGCACAAUUUCGAAGUGCAUGUUUGGGGAUGAGUUGCUGGCCCAGUACUCGUGGUACGGGACGAACAGCAAAAAAAAGUUUGACAGCUACAAACUUAUUUUUGAGGUGGUGGUGGAGGCGGUCAGGGAGCGAUUCCCUUCAUUCAGCGACACCGAGGGAGCAAGUUAUAUGAAAACGUACCUCAAACAGGCCCGUUUCAGGCAGGGCAAAAACCCACUCGACGACUCAACAGCAGCAGAUUAAUUUUUUUAUUUUAUAAUUAACUUUAUUUUUGUUUUAGUUUUAAGUUUUUCUUUAUGUAUUUAGUUUUAAGAGUUAUCUUUUAGUUUUAAGUAGUUUUAAGUUAAAAAAGUAUGUAAUUUUACUUUUUAAAUAAAAAAAAGGAAAAAAAAAGUAAUUUUUUAACCCGUUUUAUUAUUUAAAAAGGAACUUCUUUUUCAGGUUAGAAAAUUACCAUUUUUGGAGCAAAAUACUGGGUUUUUUUGCUACCCAGCUCCAACCGGAGCGAAAUAAUGGGUUUUUUUAUUACCUCUCCAGAACCUCCAAACAGGUAUCAAAAUUACCGACGAAAAAGGUUUUCCUACUACCUAAAAAUAACCGGUAGUGAAAAUACGUCACCAGAACGCUUCGAAAUAACGUUUUUGGAGCGUUUUUUUUUUACCAAAAAAAAACCCAGGCUCGUCAGCGGUUAAAAACCUACUGAUAAAAACCGUAUUUAAAUUACCAUAAAAAAACCCAGGUUUCAAAGUUACUGACCAAAUUGGGUAAAAAUGCGGCUCCUGGAACGUCUCUACGCCGGCUUUUUUACCAAUUUCGUUACUUUUCAGGUAAUUACCUCUGGUUUUAAGCCGGUUUAUUUACCGACUUUUAACCAAAA